GUCAAGUUGACCUUUGCGGGAUCCUCUUCUGGGAUGCAAGGGAAGCCCUUCAGCAUCCCCUUCAUCCAAAGCCAGAGAUCUCUCCCCGUUUGAUAAGACAUCCAUUAGUUCUUUCCAGGUGUGGAAGUGAAUGUUUAGCUCCUACUGAAAUGUUAUGUACACAAGAUAUUGGGAAUUGGAUCUGAAUUCACUGCCUUGACUAUACAUUUCAAUCUUAUGUUAUGUCGUUCCUUGAAGUCAGAAGAAGCUCCUUCAAGAUGAGAGCAAAGUAGCACCUUAAAUUCCAGAUAUCAAUAUUUAUACUUUGGAUUUGGACAUUUAUCAGCAAAAUAAACUAGCCUCACAAAAGAAUUAUGGGACAUCUAUGUGAGAACCACUGUUUCAUUUGGAAUCCCAAGAGAAAAUAUAUGAGAUAUCCUCAAAAAUGGAAAAUAAUUGUGUUUUGCAACUAGAACAUUGUUCUAAAAGAAGAGAAAAUAAUGAAAUUUCUUGAUUUCCAUUUCCAUUCCUGAAAAACUGAAGUAAAAAUUACUGAGUAAAUGAAUGACAUCUUUACUUUGUAUAUCUUAUACUUCACAGACACCUGUCCUCAAUGAAGCUCCUGAUUUGGUGUGUUAAAGUAAAAUAAAAAUCUCUGUCAGAAUUCAAUAUAAUAAACAAAAUAACCAUUUAAUAAAAAAUAUUCUAUCCAGAGAAAAUAAACAAGUAUAUUAUGGGAAAACUGUUACAAUAACACAAACAAGGAAGAAGCAUUAAAACAUCAGUAAAACAAAAACUAUACCUGAAAUCAUUAAGAAAACAUCCA